rnacentral:rRNA from 1 species
GAACAUAAGAGUUUGAUCCUGGCUCAGAUUGAACGCUGGCGGCAUGCUUUACACAUGCAAGUCGGACGGCAGCACAGGGAAGCUUGCUUCUCGGGUGGCGAGUGGCGAACGGGUGAGUAACAUAUCGGAACGUACCGGGUAGCGGGGGAUAACUGAUCGAAAGAUCAGCUAAUACCGCAUACGUCUUGAGAGGGAAAGCAGGGGACCUUCGGGCCUUGCGCUAUCCGAGCGGCCGAUAUCUGAUUAGCUGGUUGGCGGGGUAAAGGCCCACCAAGGCGACGAUCAGUAGCGGGUCUGAGAGGAUGAUCCGCCACACUGGGACUGAGACACGGCCCAGACUCCUACGGGAGGCAGCAGUGGGGAAUUUUGGACAAUGGGCGCAAGCCUGAUCCAGCCAUGCCGCGUGUCUGAAGAAGGCCUUCGGGUUGUAAAGGACUUUUGUCAGGGAAGAAAAGGCCGUUGCCAAUAUCGGCGGCCGAUGACGGUACCUGAAGAAUAAGCACCGGCUAACUACGUGCCAGCAGCCGCGGUAAUACGUAGGGUGCGAGCGUUAAUCGGAAUUACUGGGCGUAAAGCGGGCGCAGACGGUUACUUAAGCAGGAUGUGAAAUCCCCGGGCUCAACCCGGGAANUGCGUUCUGAACUGGGUGACUCGAGUGUGUCAGAGGGAGGUGGAAUUCCACGUGUAGCAGUGAAAUGCGUAGAGAUGUGGAGGAAUACCGAUGGCGAAGGCAGCCUCCUGGGAUAACACUGACGUUCAUGUCCGAAAGCGUGGGUAGCAAACAGGAUUAGAUACCCUGGUAGUCCACGCCCUAAACGAUGUCAAUUAGCUGUUGGGCAACUUGAUUGCUUGGUAGCGUAGCUAACGCGUGAAAUUGACCGCCUGGGGAGUACGGUCGCAAGAUUAAAACUCAAAGGAAUUGACGGGGACCCGCACAAGCGGUGGAUGAUGUGGAUUAAUUCGAUGCAACGCGAAGAACCUUACCUGGUUUUGACAUGUGCGGAAUCCUCCGGAGACGGAGGAGUGCCUUCGGGAGCCGUAACACAGGUGCUGCAUGGCUGUCGUCAGCUCGUGUCGUGAGAUGUUGGGUUAAGUCCCGCAACGAGCGCAACCCUUGUCAUUAGUUGCCAUCAUUCGGUUGGGCACUCUAAUGAGACUGCCGGUGACAAGCCGGAGGAAGGUGGGGAUGACGUCAAGUCCUCAUGGCCCUUAUGACCAGGGCUUCACACGUCAUACAAUGGUCGGUACAGAGGGUAGCCAAGCCGCGAGGCGGAGCCAAUCUCACAAAACCGAUCGUAGUCCGGAUUGCACUCUGCAACUCGAGUGCAUGAAGUCGGAAUCGCUAGUAAUCGCAGGUCAGCAUACUGCGGUGAAUACGUUCCCGGGUCUUGUACACACCGCCCGUCACACCAUGGGAGUGGGGGAUACCAGAAGUAGGUAGGGUAACCGCAAGGAGUCCGCUUACCACGGUAUGCUUCAUGACUGGGGUGAAGUCGUAACAAGGUAGCCGUAGGGGAACCUGCGGCUGGAUCACCUCCUUU